rnacentral:lncRNA from 1 species
GGUUUCAUUUGGACUCCAAAAAGAUUUUGGGCAUUACUGGCAGUGUACCGGGAGUAACGAAUGGGUUCCGGAUCUUCACCGGGAGGGGCCCACCCACCCGGGAGUGAGCCUGGUGGCCCUAGGGUUGCGCACCAGCCCUUGGUGGGCUGGUGGGGCCAUCCCAAGUGGGCUAUGGCGCUAGGAAGAAAAAAACAAAGAGAAA